UCGGGCCGAUUAAUUUCUUUCUAUUUUUUGGUAGAGAACGGGGGUGGGGGGGGGGCCUCUCUCUCCCUCGGGGCCCGGCCUCCACCUCCCGCAAUCCUCCCUCCUCGGCCUCCCUCCCACGAGGGCCGGGACGCCGGGCUGUGUCUCCCUCCUCUCGGAUGGAAACGAUCGCGAGUUCGGCGGGUGGUUUUUCUCCUCGUUCUUAUUAUUUUCUCCCUCUCUCUCUCUCUCUCUCUGUCCAGACGACGGACCAGAGGACCAGGCGGGAGGCGGCCAGGGAGAGGCGCAGGGCCGCGCUGGAGGCCAGGCUGGCCAAGCUGCGCAGGAGGAAGGCCGCGAGGCCGGGGCAGGACCGGGCCGGGCUUGAGGGCCAAGGCGCAGAGGCGGCGGUGACGGGGCCUCCUUCGCCCGCGGAGACGGAGGCCGGGCCUCCCCCCCGGGCCUCCGCCAGCCCCGCGCAGAGCAGCAGAGUGGAGGUCGUGGUCCAGGAGCGCAGGGACACCAGGCCCGGGGUCCCCCACGUCCGGGAGUGGGACCGGGGCAAAGAGCUCUCCUCCGGUUUCUGGUCCAAGAGGCAGUCGGACCUCCGCGCCCAGAGGGACCCCGAGUUCGCGCCGCCCUCGGAUUACUUCCCGGCCCAGAGGAGGCCCGGGCCUCCCGGCGGAGGCCCGUGGGUGGGAGGCCGGCGCCGGAGAACAGGGGCGAGGCGGCCUCCCGGCCUCCUUCGAGACCCUGGAGGACAUGAUUCUCGACUAUAAACAGCCCGUGAAACCCCCCAGAAACGUCCCCGGGACUCAGUCUCUCUCGCCGCCGGCCUCCCUUUCCCGCCGGGCCUCGGCCGAGCCUCUUCUCUCUUCUCUCUCUGUUGUUUUGUUUUGUUUUUGUUUUCGUCUUCUAAUCUUUUAUUUAUUCUUUUUGAGACACGGGGUCCUCGCUCUGUCCUGGCCCCCCGGGGUUGGAGGAGCGCCGCCCGUGGCGUCGGCCUCCGAUCCCGGCCUCGAGCGCGAUCCUCCCGCCUCGGCCUCCACCUUCCUUGAGGAGUUGGGACUUAGCGGGCGUGUGCGGCCGCCACCGCGCCCGGCUAGUUUUUUUGAAUAUAUUUUUAGUUGGCGAUUAAUUCUUCUAUUUUUAGUAGAGACGGUCUCGACUUGCUCAGGCCUGGUCUCGGACUCCGGCCUCGAGCGAGCCUCCCGCCUCGGCCUCCCUCCUGAGUAGCUGGGACUACAGGCGUGAGCCACCACGCCCGGCUCGUUUUUUUGAAUAUAUUUUUAGUUGGCCGAUUAAUUUCUUUCUAUUUUAGUAGAGACGGGUCUCGGCUCUUGCUCAGGCCAGUCUCGGACUCCCCGGC
rnacentral:lncRNA from 1 species